UUAGUGGCGGACGGGUGAGUAACGCGUGGAAAACCUGCCGUAUACUGGGGGAGUAACACUUAGAAAUAGGUGCUAAUACCGCAUAAGCGCACAGCUUCGCAUGAAGCGGUGUGAAAAACUCUGGUGGUAUACGAUGGUUCCGCGUCUGAUUAGCUAGUUGGUGGGGUAAUGGCCUACCAAGGCAACGAUCAGUAGCCGGCCUGAGAGGGUGAACGGCCACAUUGGGACUGAGACACGGCCCAAACUCCUACGGAAGGCAGCAG
rnacentral:rRNA from 1 species